AGCGAACGCUGGCGGUAGGCCUAACACAUGCAAGUCGAACGGCAGCACAGUAAGAGCUUGCUCUUACGGGUGGCGAGUGGCGGACGGGUGAGGAAUACAUCGGAAUCUACUUUUUCGUGGGUGAUAACGUAGGGCAACUUACGCUAAUACCGCAUACGACCUACGGGUGAAAGCAGGAGAUCUUCAGGCCUUGCGCGAUUGAAUGAGCCGAUGUCGGAUUAGCUAGUUGGCGGGGUAAAGGCCCACCAAGGCGACGCUACGUAGCUGGUCUGAGAGGAUGAUCAGCCACACUGGAACUGAGACACGGUCCAGACUCCUACGGGAGGCAGCAGUGGGGAAUAUUGGACAAUGGGCGCAAGCCUGAUCCAGCCAUACCGCGUGAGUGAAGAAGGCCUUCGGGUUGUAAAGCCCUUUUGUUGGGAAAGAAAAGCAGCAGGUUAAUACCCCGCUGUUCUGACGGUACCCAAAGAAUAAGCACCGGCUAACUUCGUG
rnacentral:rRNA from 1 species